CCCCAGGGAGGCGGCGGCACAUGUGGUUCCAAAGCAGCUGCAGCUCACGCCGGCUGGUGUGAGUUGAGUGUUUACAGUGCCUGAACUAGAAGCCACCCUCAGAAGGGUAAACGGAAGGAACCGCAAAGGUUGGCUUUAUUGUCGUUAAAACACUGGCGAGAUUUUCGCUAGCCUCGGCCUGAUAUUGGAAGAUUUUUAGCUGUUUUUGAGUGGCGCCUUUUCAGUGCUUUAUUUUAGAUUGCUAGCCUUGGCAAGCUCCUUUCACGAGCAGAUGCGCAGGACGUAUAUUCUUGGUUAUCCUGUGGAAACGUCACACUUGAAAGGAGACGCCCAGACUCACUGGCCUCGAUAGUAACUGGAGUUCUGUCAGGUCUGGUCAUUACUGCGUGCACUCACCGUACCUCCCCCUGAGCAUUCACCAUGUCAGAGCAAAACCCCAAUCCUCAAUCAGCAGCCUCCCAUGUCCAUUCCUGCAGCACAAUGCUGAGUGUUGUUACCAGAAAUCACUCUAAUGACACUGCAAAGUCACUCUCUCAUCUCAGCUGGACCCUCAAAGCUGCCUGUGAUCGUCAGUUUGCCCGCCCGGCCACCAGAUCGACCACCUGACCGACCAGACCGGCCCGAUCGGCCACUUGACCAGCCACUCCUCUGUCUGGAAUUGGAAGCUGUAUUUCCAUCAUAAUGUUCUUCGAUUUCAGGCAGCUUGGCUGGCACUGAGAGUAUCCAGUCGGAAUCAUGCCACUCUGCCUGUUGGGAUAAUUUACAGGAUUAAUAUAAAUGCAAAAUAGAAGCCAUAAGCAAGUUACAUUAGGACAGGAGACUCUUUUUCUCAUUAUUUAUUAUUACUUAAAGGCCAUUUAUCCAUUAAUUCAAAGUAUCUGGAACAAAACUGAAAACCAGAAAACAAAAACAAAAACAUAUUCUAAGCUCAUUCACUAAAGUCCCUAAGUUUUACGAACAAAACAGAAACAGACUCAGACACAGAGAACAAACAGGUGCUUGCCAGAGGACAGUAAGUUGGGGGGUUAGGAGAUGAGUGAAACAGAUAAGGGAAAUCAAGAGGUACAAACUUUCAGUUACAAAAUAAGUGAUGAAAUGUAUAGAAUGGGGAAUAUAAUUGAUUAUAUUACAAUAUCUUUGAAUAGUGACAGAUAGUAACUAGAUUUAUCCUGGUAAUCACUUUGUAAUAUAUAGAAAUAUCAAAUCACUAUGUUGUGUGCUUGGAACUAACACAGUAUUUUAGGUCGAUUAUAUUCCAAUUUAAAAAAACGCAGAGAGGAAAAAAACUCUAUUGCAUUUUGGUGCAUUGGAGGAAAUGCACCAAAAUGCUAAUGGUGGUUACUACUGGGUGGAGGUGGGGAUCAUGGGUGAUUGCUAUUUUUUAUGUUUUACUUUUAUGU